GACGAACGCUGGCGGCGUGCUUAACACAUGCAAGUCGAACGGAAAGGCCCUGCUUUUGUGGGGUGCUCGAGUGGCGCACGGGUGAGUAACACGUGAGUAACCUGCCCUUGACUUUGGGAUAACUUCAGGAAACUGGGGCUAAUACCGGAUAGGAGCUCCUGCUCCAUGUUGUUGGUUGGAGAGUUUCGGCGGUUGGGGAUGGACUCGCGGCUUAUCAGCUUGUUUGUGGGGUAGUUGCUUACCAAGGCUUUGACGGGUAGCCGGCCUGAGAGGGUGACCGGCCACAUUGGGCCUGAGAGACGGACCAGAAGCCUACGGGAGGCAGCAGUGGGGAAUAUGGCACAAUGGGCGGAAGCCUGAUGCAGCAACGCCGCGUGCGGGAUGACGGCCUUCGGGUUGUAAACCGCUGUCGCCGGUGACGAAGAGUGAGUGACGGUAAUGGGUAAAGAAGCACCGGCUAACUACGUG
rnacentral:rRNA from 1 species